AGAAGCUCCUGCUCAGUAACUACAGACGCGAAGCUCAGCCUCUCGGUUUGGGAAUUUUCUUGGAGGCCGAGGCCCUGCGCCUCUGUCUGCACCCAAGGCGACCGCCCAGCUUACCCCCGGCUCUUCUGAGCACAGGGAGGCCUCCCAGCAAAGCCUGAACCCUCUAAGUUUAGCUGCAGGCUUCGAACCCCGACCGUCCCCGCCGAGCCUUGGGCUGCUGAGGUGGGGAUGAACUGGGCGAAAGACACUUGGGAGUUAGGAAGAAACAAACAAGCAGGGAAGUGACCAGGAGACAAGGUGAGACUUUGCCCGGCUCAGGUCUGAACUGAGUGUUGGAGAUAACCACAGUUAACAAAAUAAACAAAAUUAUUCGCCCCCGUGGAGCUGUUAGCAACCCUGGUGCCUGGGAAGCCUGGAAGAGGCUCGGGUUAGUAACAACCUCCAGGAUGCCCUCCGAACUGGUACUGGCGCCGGGACUCUAGACAAGGUCCAGAUUCCCGGGCCCUUCCCCUUACGGGUGCAAAAAGGGAGGGUCAGGACCUGCCAGUCCUGGCUUCAGGAUGUUGACUGGACGGACCUGGACUCAUGGGAACUGUGCGCCAAAGUCCUGGGAGCAAAGUGUCAUAACGCUCCUCGUUUGUCUCUUGCCUUCACAGGAGACAGCCCUGCUGCAAGCGGCCAGUGGGAAUCCUUGGCCUUUGGGGGUAUGAUCCAAGAAUGUAAACGCUAGCUUUUCAGUGUUUUCGAUUUCGUGAUAUUCAAUGCAUACAAUACAAUGUGACUCUUGAAGCUUAAUAAUAAAAUUAUCAUUCUUGAGCCCAGCACCUAAAUUUUAAAAUGUGAGCAAUACCAAUAGGGUAACAGAAUAAGCAAUCCAUUCUGUUUUGACUAUAGUGAACAAGAUUACAAGACUUAUCUGCAGUUAGGUCUGUCUCUCGGAUGUUUGCCUGGUCUUUUUGCUGUUCAAAUAACAGUUUAAAAUUUGGCAGUCCCCACAAGCAGCUGGUCUUGCUCAUGGAGUUCUCACAACUUUUGUUUGUAUGAGAAAUCACAUUUCAUGAGAUAAAUCUGGGAAUUUAGGUUGUUAGGCAGUGACUCCAGUCACUGACCUACGGAAGUCAGAACAAAGUUGGCUGAUUUUAAAACCCUGCAUCCAUUCACCAUUACCAUUCCCGCUGUUGGUAAAAAAGGAAUCUGAUAAAGGAAAAGAUACUGGCUUCCCGGAACAGAAAGGAAACCUAACAAGAUGGACUGCAGGGAAAAUGCUUUUCAGAAGAUGCCAUGGGAUUUCAGUGACCCCGAGUAAUUAGGAGCACAUAAUUGGGAAGAUGAAGGCUUAUUUAAAUGCAGUUAUCUCUGAUAUGGCCAAUUGGCUUGAAGAAAAAAAAAACUCCUUUAUUUCCAAAAUAACAGACGUUCCAGCAGUUCAG
rnacentral:lncRNA from 1 species